CCUACGGGAGGCAGCAGUGGGGAAUAUUGCACAAUGGGGGGAACCCUGAUGCAGCGACGCCGCGUGGGUGAAGGAGUAUUUCGGUAUGUAAAGCCCUAUCAGCAGGGAAGAACAAUGACGGUCCCUGACUAAGAAGCACCGGCUAAAUACGUGCCAGCAGCCGCGGGAAAACGUAUGGUGCACGCGUUAUCCGGAUUUACUGGGUGUAAAGGGAGCGCAGGCGGCGCGUUAAGCCUGGUGUGAAAGUCCGCGGCCCAACCGCGGGACUGCAUUGGGAACUGGCGCGCUGGAGUGCCGGAGGGGUAGGCGGAAUUCCUAGUGUAGCGGUGAAAUGCAUAGAUAUUAGGAGGAACACCAGUGGCGAAGGCGGCCUACUGGACGGUGACUGACGCUGAGGCACGAAAGCGUGGGGAGCAAACAGGAUUAGAUACCCCUGUAGUC
rnacentral:rRNA from 1 species